rnacentral:sRNA from 1 species
AGUCCUACUCCUUCGACCUCUGCCGCAGCCCGUGCCGCCGCCACCUCCCGGGAAGAGAGGAAGCGGGAGAGGAGCCCACGUCGCCUGUCACCCAAUAUUUCCAGCCGCGCAGCCCCGAAGAGUGUAAGAUGUUCGCCUGCGCCAAGCUCGCCUGCACCCCCUCUCUGAUCCGAGCUGGAUCCAGAGUUGCAUACAGACCAAUUUCUGCAUCAGUGUUAUCUCGACCAGAGGCCAGUAGGACUGGAGAGGGCUCUGCGGUAUUUAAUGGGGCCCAGAAUGGUGUGUCUCAGCUAAUCCAAAGGGAGUUUCAGACCAGUGCAAUCAGCAGAGACAUUGAUACUGCUGCCAAAUUUAUUGGUGCAGGUGCUGCAACAGUAGGAGUGGCUGGUUCUGGUGCUGGUAUUGGAACAGUCUUUGGCAGCCUUAUCAUUGGUUAUGCCAGGUAAUCAUUUCUAUCCCUAAAUAAGUUAAAGAGCAUGCUUACAAUAGUUGGAAACUUAGCUACUGAAAUAAUAGCUACUUUGCAUUAAGUGCUUACUCUCUGUCUUGCAUUAUAUUUAAAGGGCUUUGUAUGCAUUAUUUCACUUAAUUCUCAUAACACCAUUUGGGGUGUUAUGAGAAUAACAUCUAUGAAGGACUAGAGACACAGAGGUCACAUUACUUGCCCAGGUCAUAGCUAGUAAAUGUCAGAAAAUGAAUUUUAACUAAGUGUGACUUCAGAGUCUGCAUUCCUAAUUGUUAAGCUGUUUUGGGAAUAAAAUUAUUAGAGCACAUUCCUUAAAAGGAUCAAUUUAUUUUAUUUAAGACCUAAACUGUCAGAUCUUAAAAGGUGUAGAUCAUAUUUUCAGAGGGAUAAGAAUGUCAGAACCCAUCAAAAUGAAUGAAAACUAACCAUUUAUAUUGACAGACAGCUCCCUACCUUUAUACCAUAUUAUCAGAAUUGAAGGAGAAUAGUGUAAGAGAGAUCUAGGCAAAUACUCUUCCAGCAGACUUUUCAGUUUACAAAAAUCCCCACACUAGUAAUCUGAUUCUUUAACAUUUACUAAACAUGUUGAAACUAAUAUUUCAAAGUAACGGUCAUAUAUGGUCUCUUUUAGAAACCCUUCGCUGAAGCAGCAGCUGUUCUCAUAUGCUAUCCUGGGAUUUGCCUUGUCUGAAGCUAUGGGUCUCUUUUGUUUGAUGGUUGCUUUCUUGAUUUUGUUUGCCAUGUAACAAAUUACUGCUUGACAUGUUCGCAUUCAUAUUAAUUACGGAUGUAAUUCUGUGUAUCUUACUGUGACUCCGAAAACUGUAGUAUUGGUGUCAUGGAAAUGU